rnacentral:piRNA from 1 species
AGUGUACAUAGGCAGAUGCUCUCAGC